rnacentral:pre_miRNA from 1 species
CACGGUUAUAUUGGGGAGCAGGAAGAGCUGUGUUGGGUAAAUGUAACAGACUUUUCUUUUUCUUCUAUGUCACUCUCU